AAGUCGUAACAAGGUUUCCGUAGGUGAACCUGCGGAAGGAUCAUUACAACAAGGUUCCCUGACCCCUCGAAGCUUCGGCGGAAGGGGGCUACAGCCUGACUUUAUACCCACCCUUUGCCUAUGUGUACCCCUAUUGCUUCCCUCGGCGGGUUCGCCCGCCGACAGGAACCAACUAAACCCUUUGCAUUAUACAUUUAACACUUCCGAUACAAAACUAAAUUAUUACAACUUUUAACAAUGGAUCUCUUGGUUCUG
rnacentral:misc_RNA from 2 species